GAAAUGCGAUAAGUAGUGUGAAUUGCAGAAUUCAGUGAAUCAUCGAAUCUUUGAACGCACAUUGCGCCCCUUGGUAUUCCAUGGGGCAUGCCUGUUCGAGCGUAAUCUACACCCUCAAGCUCUGCUUGGUGUUGGGCGUCUUUGUCCCGCCUCCGCGCGCGGACUCGCCCCAAAUUCAUUGGCAGCGGUCCUUGCCUCCUCUCGCGCAGCACAUUGCGCUUCUCGAGGUGUUGCGGCCCGCGUCCAGAAAGCAAUCGUUACCGUCUUUGACCUCGGAUCAGGUAGGGAUACCCGCUGAACUUAAGC
rnacentral:misc_RNA from 1 species